rnacentral:rRNA from 1 species
GAUGAACGCUGGCGGCGUGCCUAACACAUGCAAGUCGAGCGAGAAGUUUGAAAAAUGAGUUUUCGAACAAGUGAUUCAAACGGAAAGCGGCGGACGGGUGAGUAACGCGUAGGCAACCUGCCCCGUGCAGAGGGACAGCCUCGGGAAACCGGGAUUAAGACCUCAUGAUAUCAGGUUAUCACAUGGUAAUCCGGUCAAAGAUUUAUCGGCAUGGGAUGGGCCUGCGUCUGAUUAGCUGGUUGGUGGGGUAACGGCCUACUAAGGCGACGAUCAGUAGCAGAACUGAGAGGUUCAUCGGCAACAUUGGAACUGAGACACGGUCCAAACUCCUACGGGAGGCAGCAGUGAGGAAUAUUGCACAAUGGGCGAAAGCCUGAUGCAGCAACGCCGCGUGAGCGAGGAAGGCCUUUGGGUCGUAAAGCUCUGUCCUUGGGGAAGAAACAAGUGACGGUACCCUUGGAGGAAGCCCCGGCUAACUACGUGCCAGCCGCCGCGGUAA